CCUACGGGCGGCAGCAGGGAGGAAUAUUGGGCAAUGGGAGAGAACCGGAACCAGCCAAGCCGCGUGAGGGAAGACGGCCCUAUGGGGUGUAAAACUCUUUUGUCGGAGAACAAAACCCGGGACGAGUCCCGGACUGCGUGUAUCCGAAGAAAAAGCAUCGGCUAACGCCGUGCCAGCAGCCGCGGUAAUACGGAGGAUGCGAGCGUUAUCCGGAUUUAUUGGGUUUAAAGGGUGCGUAGGCGGUCUGUUAAGUCAGCGGUAAAAUGGCGGGGCUCAACCCCGGCGAGCCGUUGAAACUGGCAGACUUGAGUUGGCGAGAGGUACGCGGAAUGCGCGGUGUAGCGGUGAAAUGCAUAGAUAUCGCGCAGAACUCCGAUUGCGAAGGCAGCGUACCGGCGCCAGACUGACGCUGAGGCACGAAAGCGUGGGGAUCGAACAGGAUUAGAUACCCUGGUAGUC
rnacentral:rRNA from 1 species